rnacentral:rRNA from 1 species
GUGGGGAAUAUUGCACAAUGGGCGCAAGCCUGAUGCAGCGACGCCGCGUGAAGGAUGAAGUAUUUCGGUAUGUAAACUUCUAUCAGCAGGGAAGAAAACGACGGUACCUGACUAAGAAGCCCCGGCUAACUACGUGCCAGCAGCCGCGGUAAUACGUAGGGGGCAAGCGUUAUCCGGAUUUACUGGGUGUAAAGGGAGCGUAGAUGGCAUGGCAAGUCUGAAGUGAAAGCCCGGGGCUUAACCCCGGGACUGCUUUGGAAACUGUUAAGCUGGAGUGCAGGAGAGGCAAGCGGAAUUCCUAGUGUAGCGGUGAAAUGCGUAGAUAUUAGGAGGAACACCGGUGGCGAAGGCGGCUUGCUGGACUGUAACUGACAUUGAGGCUCGAAAGCGUGGGGAGCAAACAGGAUUAGAAACCCCAGUAGUCC